AUUGAACGCUGGCGGCAAGCCUAACACAUGCAAGUCGAACGAGUGGCGGACGGGUGAGUAAUGUCUGGGAAACUGCCUGAUGGAGGGGGAUAACUACUGGAAACGGUAGCUAAUACCGCAUACCAUCGGAUGUGCCCAGAUGGGAUUAGCUAGUAGGUGGGGUAAAGGCUCACCUAGGCGACGAUCCCUAGCUGGUCUGAGAGGAUGACCAGCCACACUGGAACUGAGACACGGUCCAGACUCCUACGGGAGGCAGCAGUGGGGAAUAUUGGACAAUGGGCGAAAGCCUGAUCCAGCCAUGCCGCGUGUGUGAAGAAGGUCUUCGGAUUGUAAAGCACUUUAAGUUGGGAGGCGUUACCCGCAGAAGAAGCACCGGCUAACUCCGUGCCAGCCGCCGCGGUAAUUC
rnacentral:rRNA from 1 species